GAGUUUGGAGGGUGCCGGUCAACGAAGCCACGCGAGGUAUUUGAAAGGCAAUCAGCCCGACCGUCCCCCUAGAUUCAUCGGAGAAGGAACUCAGUGAAUAUUGCCCUGGGUCCUGGUAAUUCCACCUACUGAAGACAACUGCCCCUUCUGCUCAUAUUUCCUGAGUCAACAUGGCCGUUCCUAACUUUGAAGAGACUUUAGACAUUCUUUGUUACAAUGAACCUAGAAGAAAGAAGAGAAAUAAUAACCGCCAUGGAAGGAUGCUCCUCCUGCCAAUUGGCACUUAUCAAUGACAUCGAGGGAGAGGGACAGAGUGCCUAGGUAUGAGCCUUCAUCAAGUGGUAUGAAGGCCCUACUCCAACAGAAAGUGCUGAUGUGAAGAAAUGGUGCUUUGGACAAGACUUUUCCUCCAAGUUGGUCCUAUCCAGGGGUUGGCAAACAGGGUCCCUGGACAUCAUGCCUGUUGUGUACUCUUAUGAAUAAAGUUCUAUAGGACACA
ensembl:lincRNA Pantr1 POU domain, class 3, transcription factor 3 adjacent noncoding transcript 1